GACGAGCAGAAGACCAAGGACGGCGGUGGGUGGGCGCUGCCGCCGUUGAUCCGGAAUUUCAAGAUGUUCUGAAUAGCCUCAAGCUAAAAAUUGUGGCUGGGAUCUGCAACGACGUUCCUCCAGUCCAUCGCCAACAGCUGCAGUACGCCACUCCUUCAUCUCUCCCUUUUUGCUGCUUAUCUAAUCCUCGCAGUACGCCACUCCAAUGCUUUUUCUUGUCAAGAAACAACACCUUCACAUUGAUGUUGUCCCCUUUUAUUUUCUGUGAGAUUUCUCCAUUGAGGUCAUGUCACUUGUUUAAUCAGUUUGAGUAUACGGGUCAUUCGAGAAUUUAGUGUAGUGUAGGGUUUACUGAACAUUACUGCUGCUGUCAUAUUUGAGUAAAUCAGUGAACAUCUGUAUUUAGCAGAAUACUCUACUCCAGUAAUUAAGUGCAAUAUGAAACCUUUUUCUUCAGUUAAGUGUUAACUAAAUUAAAACUAAUGUUAAUUAGGAGUAGUGUAUUGUUGCUGUAGUUUCUCCAUCUGGAGUAAUUCUCUUCUCUUCUUCAGUUAAUUAUAGGAGUACUUUUAGAGGUAAUUAACUGAAACUUUUUCAGUUAAUUAGGAGUAGCAAACUCUUUUAGUUAAAGAAUUUGGAGUAAUUCUCUUCUCUUUUUCUAUUCUCCUCUUCUCUUCUCUAUUCAUAACUUGCUACUAUGAUGAUGGAGUAGCAAUCAUAUUUUGACUUGUGUAGUGAUGCUGCUAUGAUGGGUUUCCCAGAUGCUUCUAUGAUCCCACUAGAUAAAACAGUCAACAAUUUGCUCUUUGAAAAAGCAAACAAGCCAUUUACUCCAAUGCAGUUCAUCUUUUUUUAAUACUCCAAUGCAGUUCAUCCAAGGAUGAUGCAAGCCAUUUACCAGAAAGAAGAAGCAGAUUUUUGGUAAUUAAAUAAGACCUUUGCCUGCUUCCAGAUUUGGAAUACAAAGACAAAAGACUAGUGUACAAUGCAGUUUAUACUCCAUGCAUAUUCUUCAGUUCCUCUUCCAUGAUACACUUGCAGCACAUACACCUUAUACAGCUGCCUCAUUUAUUCUACUGAUUCCUCAAAUUCUGCUGUUAAUUAUUGUGAAUCCCUCAGUUGUGAUGUUUAACUGAAUCGAUCUUGUUUUGUCUAAUUCAAGGCGAGGAUUACCUGCCUGGAGUGCAAGGCGGGGGCGCAGCGAGGAUCAGGCUGGCCAGCGGGGCGAGGACCAAGCUGGGGCGGAGGCGGCCAGGCUGGGGCGGUGGCGAGGACCGGGGCGGCGAGCUGGGUCGGAGGCGGCCAGGCUAGGACGGCGGCGAGGACCAAGCUGGGGCGGAGGCAGUCCUGCUGGUUGAGGGAGGAGGAGGAGGGGCUGGCGACGGGGACGAGCGCUGACCUGGAGGAAGAGGAGGCAAGCGCUGCCUGGAGGAAGACGACGACGAUCUGUUUUUAAAAUCAGGGGUAGUUCUGUACUUUUGUUUGUUUUCACCUUUUUUUUGCAUACUAAUUGGAGAGCUUUAUUCAUCGAAAAGCAUUCAUGGAUGAGUCAGCCAAUAGGCUGGUCACCAGGAAGAUUGGAGUAUCAUCUAGCCAGCUAUCUGUUACAUCCGGUGCACAGGCACGCUUUGUACAAAGAUGCGCAGGAAGAUUAGCUGAUCUACUUACAUGCCGAACAUCGAAAGAUGUAAAGUAAGUACUGAGCUCUCCUAUCUCAUCUAAUAAAUAGGCCACAAUAGAACGUGAAUUGUGACGAGAGUUCCAAAGUGUCACCAACUCCAAGCAGUCUACUUCCAUUAUCACAUGGGAGAAGCCUCGGAAAGUAGCAAAAAGAACCCCAUCACGUAAGGAGAG
rnacentral:lncRNA from 1 species